UACGAGGGGGGCAAGCGUUGUUCGGAAUUAUUGGGCGUAAAGGGCGCGUAGGCGGUUUGACAAGUCUGAUGUGAAAUCUCUGGGCUCAACCCAGAGUCUGCAUUAGAAACUGUCGAGCUUGAGUAUGGGAGAGGUGAGUGGAAUUUCCGGUGUAGCGGUGAAAUGCGUAGAUAAUCGGAAGGAACACCUGGUGGCGAAAAGCGGCUCACUGGACCAUAACUGACGCUGGAGGCGACGAAAGCCUAGGGGAGCAAACAGG
rnacentral:rRNA from 1 species